AGUGAACGCUGGCGGCGUGCUUAACACAUGCAAGUCGAACGAGAACGGGUUAUAGCUUGCUAUAAUUGUCAGCUAAGUGGCGCACGGGUGAGUAAUGUAUAGGUAAUAUGCCUCUUACUAAGGGAUAACAAAUGGAAACGUUUGCUAAUACCUUAUACUCCUUAUUAACAGAAGUUAAUAAGGGAAAGAUUUAUUGGUAAGAGAUUAGCUUGUAUUGUAUCAGUUAGUUGGUGGGGUAAUGGCUUACCAAGACUAUGUCACAUAACUGGUUUGAGAGGAUGAUCAGUCACACUGGAACUGAGACACGGUCCAGACUCCUACGGGAGGCAGCAGUGGGGAAUAUUGCACAAUGGACGAAAGUCUGAUGCAGCAACGCCGCGUGGAGGAUGACACAUUUCGGUGCGUAAACUCCUUUUAUAUGAGAAGAUAAUGACGGUAUUAUAUGAAUAAGCACCGGCUAACUCCGUGCCAGCCGCCGCGGUAA
rnacentral:rRNA from 1 species